GGGGCCUGAGCCGCCAUGAGCAGAGUGGAAGAGACUUACAGGCGUGCCCCGCACCGCCCCGCCCCUGGCACCCCACGUCAGCCCCCCUCAGUCCCGCCCUUGGGCUGGGUGUUGCCCCAGGGGGGGCCCCCGCCACUGGAUGGCUACGUCAGCACUGGUGAUGUCUCCCCGCAGGGGGGCGCGGCGCAGCCGGCGCGGAGCAUCGACGAGCGGCGCGGCUUCCGCUUCGUCCCAGCGGCGCCGCUGCUGCAGGAGGGCGGCGACGAGCCCUCCUCGCUGCCCUACACGCUGCUGCAGGAGGCAGACGGGGAGGUGAACGGUACCCAUGAGAUCGAUGUGUGCGAGUUGGUGCCUGAGGGUCACGACAAGGCCCACCCCAGCCAUUUCGAGUUGCUCAAGGUGCUGGGGCAAGGCUCGUUCGGCAAGGUGUUCUUGGUGCGGAAGAUCAGCGGGCCGGAUGCGGGGACCCUCUACGCCAUGAAGGUCCUCAAGAAAGCCACACUUAAGGUGCGUGACAGAGUGCGGACCAAAAUGGAACGCGAUAUCCUGGCCGACGUGAACCAUCCCUUUGUGGUGAGGCUGCACUACGCCUUCCAGACCGAGGGCAAGCUGUACCUCAUCCUGGACUUCCUGAGGGGGGGAGACCUCUUCACUCGGCUGUCCAAGGAGAUCAUGUUCACCGAGGAGGACGUCAAGUUCUACCUGGCAGAGUUGGCGCUGGCUCUCGACCACCUACACUCCGUUGGGGUCAUCUACCGGGACCUCAAGCCGGAGAACAUCCUCCUGGACGCCGACGGCCACAUCUCACUGACGGACUUUGGGCUGUGCAAGGAGGCGCUGGAGGACCAGAAGGCCUACAGCUUCUGCGGCACCGUGGAGUACAUGGCGCCCGAGGUGGUGAACCGCCGCGGCCACAACACUGCCGCUGACUGGUGGUCCUUUGGGGUGCUGCUGUUUGAGAUGCUGACGGGUGCGCUGCCCUUCCAAGGCGCCAACCGGAAGGAGACCAUGAACCUGAUCCUGAAGGCCAAGCUGGGCAUGCCGCCGUACCUCAGCCCCGAGGCACAGUCCCUCCUGCGGGCGCUCUUCAAGAGGAACCCGGCAAACAGGCUUGGUGCAGGCACCGAGGGCGUGGAGGAGCUCAAGCGCCACCCAUUCUUCGCCUCCAUCGACUGGGACAAGCUCUACGCCAAGCAGAUCGAGCCGCCCUUUAAGCCGGCCGUCUCCAAGGCUGACGACACCUUCUACUUUGACCAGGAGUUCACCACGCGCACCCCCAGAGACUCGCCCGGGGUGCCGCCCAGUGCCAAUGCGACGCAGAUGUUCAAGGGGUUUAGCUUUGUGGCGCCCUUCUUGCUGGAGGACCAGGUGGACGGGAUGGAGAUGACCCCCACGCACACCACCGAGAAGAACACAUCGCUUAGCAAGCGUCUCUCCGGGGUCAAACCAAACAGCAUACACGACGAGUACGAUCUGUCCGAGGAGGUUGGCCGAGGGAGCUACAGUAUUUGCCGGCGCUGCGUCCACAAGGGCACGAGGCAGGAGUACGCGGUGAAGGUCAUUCCCAAGAAGACACGCGACUGCCAGGAGGAGAUUGAGAUACUUUAUCGCUACGGACACCACUCCAAUAUCAUAUCGCUGAGAGACGUGUACGAGGAUGACUCCCACGUGUACCUGGUGAUGGAGCUGAUGCAGGGCGGGGAGCUGCUCGACAAGAUCCUGCGCCAAAAGUUCUUCUCCGAGCGCGAGGCGUCGGCCGUGCUGCUGACGCUGACCAAUGCCGUGCAGUACCUCCACCAGAACGGGGUCGUACAUCGUGACCUCAAACCCUCCAACAUCAUGUACGCCGACAUCUCCGGCAGCCCCGAGUCACUGAGGAUAUGUGACUUCGGGUUCGCCAAGCAGCUGCGCGCCGAGAACGGGCUCCUUAUGACGCCCUGCUACACGGCGAACUUCGUGGCUCCGGAGGUGUUGAAGAGGCAGGGCUAUGACGCGGCUUGUGAUAUCUGGAGCCUGGGAGUCCUGCUAUACACCAUGCUGGCCGGCCAGACGCCGUUCGCUCAGGGCCCGAACGACACGCCCGAGGACAUCUUACAGCGGAUCGGGGAGGGCAAGAUUAACCUAGACUCCGGGAACUGGGUCUCGGUCUCCCCGGCUGCAAAGGACCUGGUGACACAGAUGUUGCACCUGGACCCCAACCAACGCCUCACCGCUGCCCAGGUUGCCUCUCACCCUUGGCUCCUUCACCGCGAGAGUCUGCCCAAGCUUCGCCUCCAGCUGCAGGACGCCUCGCUGGUCAAGGGCGCCAUCACAGCCACUUACAGGGCCAUAAACCACACGCCUCGCGCCCCGAAUCUUGGACCCGUCGCCGCCUCUGCUCUGGCACGCCGAAGGGGGAAGUCCCGCCCGAAAUCGUCAACGGAGGUCUGACAUACGGCCGACACCCACACCCACACCCACGCCCACACCCACGCCCAUUCCCACGCCCGCAGAUGCACCACGCCCUCCCUAGAUGUCCUUGAGGCCGGUUUAAUCACCCCGCCUCCACAAUGGGCUGAUCCCCCUCUCUCGAUUCCACCUCCUCUUCUUCCACCUCCUCCACCCCAUUUUCAACACCACGAGGAUAAAGGAAUGCAACACCAGAAGGAGAAGGAACACCGCUAUCAGUAUGAGCAACACCACCAACAACACCAUAAGCAACACCACCACCACCACCACCACCAUCACCACCACCAGUACCCCCAGCAACACCACCUAAACGAAGAUCAACACCAGAGAAAGGAACACCAGCAAAAUGAAGAUGAACACCAGAGAAAGGAACACCACCUCCACCUCCAGCAACACCAGAACGAAGCCCAACACCGGAAAAGAGAGGACAAGCACCACCACCACCACCACCACCACCACGAGACUCAACACCAAAUGAAAAAAGAACAACAACAACAUCACCAGAAGAAAGACCACCACCACCACCAUCAUCACCACACACCAACCUCACCCUCACCACCACCACCUCCUCCUCCUCAACACCACACCACUGCCACCUCCUCCUCCUCCUCCCUCAGCUCCCUCUUCAACCCCCAAAUCGUCAGUCCAACCACCAAAACCCCCACGGGAGCUCAGGAAGGGGGGGAGGAGGGGGGGCAGGGGUGCGAGGCCUCCCCUACGCCGCAGAAGCAAGGGCAAGGGCCGGGUCAGCAGGGGCGGCAGGGUAGCAAGUCCCGCCGUCGCUGCCACCGCCGAAGUCGCCGUCGCCGUCGCACAGCCUCGGCGGCCUCGUGAAAGGGGUGUGUGAGGGUGCGUUAGGGAGGGUGUGUUUGUGUGAGUUGAAGGGUGAGUGAGAGAGAGUUGGGAGUGUAAGAGUGUGUGUCAAGGUGUAAAACUGUCCUGUAGAGUUUGUUAGGGUGUGUUAGGAAGAGUGUGUCAGGGUGUUAAAAUGUCCAGUAGAGUUUGUUAGGGUGUGUUGGUGUGACUUGAAGCGUGAGUGAGAGAGAGUUGGGAGUGCAAGAGAGUGUGUCAAGGUGUUGAAAUGUCCUGAAGAGUUUGUUAGGGUGUGUUAGGAAGGGCGUGUUGGUGUUAGUUGAAGGGUGAGUGAGAGAGAGUUGGGAGUGUAAGAGUGUGUGUCAGGGUGUAGAAAUGUCCUGAAGAGUUUGUUAGGGUGUGUUAGGAAGGGUGUGUUGGUGUGUGAUGUUAGAAAGGAUGUGUUAGGGUGUGUGUGAAGAUGUGCAAUGAUUUCUUUAGGGCGUAAGAAUGCUAAAAUGAUAAAGGUGUGAAAACUUAGAGUGUGUGCAAAGGAGUGUGAAAGUAUGAUGCAAGAAGAGGAUGUCAGAUUAAACAAAUGUAUAAGAAAGGUGUGAAGGUAAUAUAAGAGUGCGUUAGGAUGUAUAGGUGUGAAGAGAGGUGAAGAAAUUAUGUAAAAGGAAAGUGUAAAUGUGGAGAAGUGUACAAAAAGGGUGUGUGGAGGUGCGUUGAUGUUAAGGAAAGUGUGUUAUGAGGGUGUAAUAGGGUGUGUGAUGUUAAGAGAGUGUGAUAGUGUGUUAGGGUGCAUAGGUGUGAAGAAAGGUGAGGAAAUUAUGUAAAAGGAAAGUGUAAUUGUGAAGAAUUGUAUAAAAAGGGUGCGUGGAGGUGCGUUGAUGUUAAGGAAAGUGUGUUAUGAGGGUGUAAUAGGGUGUGUGAUGUUAGAGUGUGUGUUAGGGUGCAUUAGAAAGUGUGUGUUAGUGUGUUUGUGGGUGAGGAUGGGUGAGGAUGUGAAGUUAACGAGGUGGCAAUUCAGGUGUUCAAAGGUGAUGUUCUCAAAUGGUGUUCUAUGAUGUUUCCUAAAAAAAUGUGUGUUCUAGAUAAGGUGUCAUUACAGGUAAACAAGAAAGGUGCACAGGUAAAAAGGUGUGCUAAUUGAUGUGUUCUGAGGUGUUCUAUUUUAAGACAUUCUGCAAAGGUAAACAAAAAAAAAAGGUGAGAGAAAAUAAGUAAAAAAGACAUUUGCAGGUGUGUCUUAAUGAAGGUAAGCACAGGUGAAGGUGUGUGUGUGCUAAUGAAGGUGUUUCUGAGGUGUUCUGUAAAAAUAAGUAAAAAAAAGUGAAAGUGAAGCCAAAGGUGAUAAUGAAAGGUGUGAAAAAAGGUUAAUCACAGGUAUGGACAGGUAAAGGUGUGCUGAUUAAGGUAUUGCUAAUUAAGGUGUGUCUGAGGUGUUCUAUAAAAAAGGGUAAAAAAAAAGUGAGUCAAGCCAAAGGUGAUAUUGACAGGUGUGAAGAAAAGGGUAAUUACAGGUGUGGAAAAAAGGUUAAUUACAGGUGUGGACAGGUAAAAAGGUGCAUUAAUUAAGGUGUAUCUGAGGUGUUCUAUAAAAAAAAAGCUGAAAAAAAGUGAAAGUCAAGCCAUAGGUGAUAAUGAAAGGUGUAGAAAAAAGGCUAAUUACAGGUGAGAAAAGGCAAUUAAUCAAGGUGUGAACAGGUAAAGGUGUGCUAAUUAAGGUGUUCAAUUAAAAUAAAGGUAAAAAAAAGUGAAAGUCAAGCCAUAGGUGAUAAUGACAGGUGUGAAAAAGGUUAAUUAGAGGUGUGGACAGGUGCACUGAUUAACAUAUACAGGUAAAGGUGUUCUGUUAAUUAGGGUGGCAGGUGUGUCAAAGCAGGUGUGUCAUUGUUACCUGUCACUUAACCAUCCCUGUCCCACACCUGUUGCACACCUGUCAGGCCAAUUAGCAACACCUGCCCCCCAUGUUCAGAGACAAACAAACGCAGCAGGAGUGAAAAAAAUGAUGUUGUUUGCUUCUUUGUUUUGUUGUUUUGAGGGGGAGAGAGAAAGAAAGAAAGAAAGACAGAUUAAAAGAUGUGGAGGAGGAGGGAGAGAGGGAAAGAAAGGGGAGGAAUUUAGUGAAGGGGGAGAGGAAAAAAGAUGGAUUGGAGGAGGUGGAGGAAAAGAAGGAGGAAUUAAGUGGAGAGGGAGAGGAAAAAAGAGGGAUUGGAGGAAAAAAAGGUAGAAAAUGGUGAAGAGAUGGAGGAAAAAAGGGAGAAUCUAGUGAAGGGGAGAGAGAAAAAAGGAGGAAAAAAAGAAGUAUUAAGUGUAGUGGUGGAGGAAGGAAAAAAUGGGAGGAGGGAGAAAAGGGAGGAAGAAAAAUAUAGGGAGGAGGAAAAAAAGAGGAGGUAUUUAAGGGUAGUAUUUCUAAGGGGCCAGUGUUACCCCCUCCCCCAUCACCCCCCUCCCCCUCCCUCUCCCCCUCCCCUCCCUCUCCCCUUACCUUAUACCUGUAACUUUGAGGCAACAAUCAAAUAGGUAAUGGAGGUGAAUUUGAACCUUACCUAACUUACCUUGUUAAUGGGGUCACCUGUGCUUACCUGUGACCUUGACCUUUAGGGGGGGGGGUGAAGGGGGAAAGGGGGGUUACCUGUAUUAUUAGGGGGGGUAGUUGGGGGUAGGGAGGGGGGGGUAGGGGGGGAAUAGCCAAGCAUAAUUAUAAUAUUCUGACUUUAUAUUAUAACCUCCAUUUUUUGAAGAUUUGGUGUACAUGUGUGCGUAUCUGUGUGCGUUUCCCUAUGUGCAUGUGCGUGUUUGGUUCUAGUGACUGUGUGUGUGUGUGUGUGUUGUCAAGGUUUUUCUGUGUAUGUAUGUAUAUAUGUGAAUGUGUAUGUGUGUGUGUAUGUGUGUUGGAAAGAGAUACAUACAUACACACACACACUCACAAAUGGAUGAGAUAAAAAGCGUACACAGGGAAAUGUACAUGUGUGUGUGUGCGUGUGUUCUGUGUAUGUAUCAAGGUGUUACAAUUUCUCGUUAAGCGUUGAACAGGUAAAUAAACGAAGGAAUAUAAACUUAAUGAAUUUCUUUGACAUCGUUAUCUUUAGAGAGAGAGAGAGAGAGAGAGAGAGAGUUAACUAUUUAUGUUUAUAUUGUGUUCCCCUCCUGUGUGUGUGUGUGUGUGUGUGUGUGUGUAUGUGUACAGGUGAGACUACCAACAGUUCCUUAUUUUAUCAUUAUUAUUAUUAUUAUUAUUAUUAUUAUUAUUAUUAUUAUUAUUAUUAUUAUUAUUAUUAUUAUUAUCACUAGAAAAAAAGAACAUAAGAGAGCAAACAUUACAUAGAAAACAAACAAUCAACAAUAAUAAUAAUAAUAAUAAUAAUAAUAAUAAUAAUGAUGAUAAUAAUAAUAAAAAUAAUAUCACAGGUACUAUAUUACAUUAGACAGGUGUGCAGGAAAGGUAAUUAAGGGACAGGUAAGAUGGACAGGUAUAAAACAGGUAGAACUCUUGUAUAUAUAUUAGAGAGAGAGAGAGAGAGAGAGAGAGAGAGAGAGAGAGAGAGAGAGAGAGAUUUAUAUAGCAUCUCUGUCUUAAUAAAUGACUGAGUGAGAGAGAAAGAGAGAGAAGGAGGAGGAGGAAGAAAGGAGAAAAAGUAGAAAUAGAAAAUGAGAAGAAAAAGAAGAGAAAGAAGAAUAACGAAAUGAAACUAUACAUAUUCUCUCCUCUUCCUCCUCCUCCUCCUCCUGAAGAAGAAGAAGAAGAAGAUAAAAAAAAGAGGCCAAAUAUUUAGAUAACUCAUAUUGUUAGUUAAAGAGAGAGAGAGAGAGAGAGAGAGAGAGAGAGAGAGAGAGAGAGAGAGAGAGAGAGAGAGAGAGAG